GGAAACUGGAUGUUCUCCUAAAACAGGAACCUGACAAGACUGACUAGCCAUCUCUAGCAUUCAGAUAGGUGGAACUUCAUUGUGCUGAAGUUAUGUUUGAGCACCCUCUGCUGGACAAAUCAGGUAAGUACAGGAUUUUUUUUUUUUUUUUUGGUCUUGUGCCUUUUAAAUUCAUGCUCCGAAGAAGAGAAGAUUUUUAUCUCGAAUCUACACUAAAAGAAGUCUCCUCUUUAAACAGAUGCUCUAUGACUACCAACAAUGUACCAGUGGUAUUCGUCUCUUGCAGAUCUGGAAGAAAAUGAAAUUUAGGUACAUACAGUCACGAACAGAUACCUAGAUGACACAUUUAAAACCCUCAAACACAGUGGAGAUGAGACCAGCAUAAUAUUAAGCUCUUCUCCCUCACAAACACCUGUGCUACCCACACUCACAGGCAAAAAAAAUAUACACAACUGCCAGACUGCAAUGCCUCCCAAUUUAUUGGCCAAAUCUAGAUUCUGCUAGCCCUGUAUAUUCACUCAGAAAGCCAGGCUUCAGACACACCAUGAGUGAUGAGAAAUCCAUUUCAUCAGCAGAGGCAUCUUGCCUAUCUUCAGGAAGCCUACAGACUUCCAGGGAAGCAGGGGGGAAAUCAAGACGUGUCUGACUAUGAGCUGGGGUAAGGGAAGCCUCCGUGUGAAGAUGUGACCUAGUUAGGACAGCUGCCGGAAAGCAGGACUGGCAAGCUUGGUGGUUUGAUGUGAGCGAGCAGUCUCCUUCCUGCUGCUGCAGCUGCAAGCUGCUCCUGCCGCCCAUGCCUUCUCUACUGCCAUGCCUUCCCUACCACAAGGGCCAGAACUCUCACACUGAAAGCCAGAAUAAAUCCUUCCUCUCUUCGGUUGGUUGUUGUCAGGUAAUUGGUCCCAACCAUGGUAAAGCUUAGUGGAAAAGAAAAAAAAGGUAAAAAUCUAUUGUAGACUGAGUGCCCUGAAUCAGAAAACACACAGUCCAGCUGCUCUGAAAUCUAAGCAUCAUCGUGACACUACAAAGAGAAAACUCCAUAUCUGACCACACAUGAGAAUCUACUGAUGAAUACAACCAUGGGUUUACUAAAAAAAGGUGUAUAAAAUGAUCUUCAAGCUGCUCGUAUAAGAUAGGUAUGAAGUGUAAAUUGAAUUUUGGGUCUGACCCCCUAACAUAUUUUCCUGCGUGAAUACAAAUUCCCUCAAGUCCAAAUAACCCCACACUUGGGCGUUUCAGAUAGGGGAUACCCAAUCUGUAAGCCGUUUACUGCCAUAGAGAAGCUAUGAUGCAAGCAGAGCCUACUAACAACUUGGCCAAAACACUUCUAAUAACAGAACUUCACAUGGGUUUCCAUGAGGUCAGAAUGGAAGUAGGAGGAUACAUUGUUUGACGUCAUGGUAUCUGUCCAAUUAAGGUCUGUGUGAGCCUUCCAUCACCAUAACAAAACACAGAACAGAAUCAGCUUUUUAAGGGGGCUUAUUUUGGAUUAUGGUUGCAUAGGAAGAUAUAUAGAUAGGAUCUCCAUGCCAAUAUUUUUAAUGGGUGCUGUCUCUAUUGCUCUGGGCAGGAGAAGGCAGCAGCUGGCAUCAAUGGUGUGGUGAGGAGAGAAUCAAGUUUCCUUCUCCAGUUCAAACAGACGAAAGUGAAGCGACAUAGGCUCAAGGACAGGGUCACUGGGCUAGCGCCACACCAUGGAGCCAAACCCCGAGCCUUCUAAAUUGUGAGCUGGGCAUGGUGGUUCACCCCAGGAAUCGCAGCACUGAGGGAUGAAGGCGAGAGAGUCACUGUGGGUGUGACAUCAGUCUGGCCUGAAGUCUGAGACUGUUUUUUUAAAAAGAAAACAUUUUUUUAUGUCAUAUAUUUAAUUAUAUAAAGAUUCUGUUGUUUUGUUGUUGUUGUUGUUAAAAUUCAGCCAGGAAAUUUCCAUCUGUCUGGUGUUAAUUGGUUGUUUUUCAGCACUAAUUGGGAAAUGAUAUAUUUUUAUUGUUUUAUAAAUAGAGUAAAACCCCUCAGAAACUGCUGGGGAAAUUUAAACAAGGAAAGCAAUUCUAUGUCCUUGCUUGACACCAGUUUGUCCCAGAGGUGACACAACUGUGUAGUUUUUGAAAACACUGGGCA
rnacentral:lncRNA from 1 species